CGGCCCCUACGGGAGGCAGCAGUGGGGAAUAUUGCACAAUUGGGGAAACCCUGAUGCAGCGACGCCGCGUGAAGGACGAAGUAUUUCGGUACGUAAACUUCUAUCAGCAGGGAAGAAAAUGACGGUACCUGACUAAGAAGCCCCGGCUAACUACGUGCCAGCAGCCGCGGUAAUACGUAGGGGGCAAGCGUUAUCCGGAUUUACUGGGUGUAAAGGGAGCGUAGACGGAGGAGCAAGUCUGAUGUGAAAAUCCGGGGCCCAACCCCGGAACUGCAUUGGAAACUGUUUAUCUAGAGUGUCGGCGA
rnacentral:rRNA from 1 species